rnacentral:rRNA from 1 species
CAAGUCGAACGGUAACAGGCCCGCAAGGGUGCUGACNAGUGGCGGACGGGUGAGGAAUACAUCGGAAUUUGCCCAGUCGUGGGGGAUAACGUAGGGAAACUUACGCUAAUACCGCAUACGACCUAACGGUGAAAGCGGGGGAUCGCAAGACCUCGCGCGGAUGGAUAAGCCGAUGUCGGAUUAGCUAGUUGGCGGGGUAAAGGCCCACCAAGGCGACGAUCCGUAGCUGGUCUGAGAGGAUGAUCAGCCACACUGGGACUGAGACACGGCCCAGACUCCUACGGGAGGCAGCAGUGGGGAAUAUUGGACAAUGGGGGCAACCCUGAUCCAGCAAUGCCGCGUGUGUGAAGAAGGCCUUCGGGUUGUAAAGCACUUUUAUCAGGAACGAAACGCGCAGGUUUAAUACGUCUGCGAACUGACGGUACCUGAGGAAUAAGCACCGGCUAACUUCGUGCCAGCAGCCGCGGUAAUACGAAGGGUGCAAGCGUUACUCGGAAUUACUGGGCGUAAAGGGUGCGUAGGUGGUCGUUUAAGUCCGUUGUGAAAUCCCUGGGCUCAACCUGGGAAUGGCAGUGGAUACUGGACGGCUAGAAUGCGGUAGAGGGUAGUGGAAUUCCCGGUGUAGCAGUGAAAUGCGUAGAGAUCGGGAGGAACACCAGUGGCGAAGGCGGCUACCUGGACCAGCAUUGACACUCAAGCACGAAAGCGUGGGGG